CAGUCGCCACGGUAAAACGUAGGUCCCGAGCGUUGUCCGGAUUUAUUGGGCGUAAAGGGUGCGUAGGCGGUCGGGUAAGUCGGAUGUGAAAUCCUGGGGCUCAACCUCAGAACUGCAUUCGAUACUGCUUGGCUAGAGGACUGGAGAGGAGACUGGAAUUCACGGUGUAGCAGUGAAAUGCGUAGAUAUCGUGAGGAAGACCAGCGGCGAAGGCGGGUCUCUGGACAGUUCCUGACGCUGAUGCACGAAGGCCAGGGGAGCAAACGGGAUUAGAUACCCCCGUAGUCCCUGUCUCUUAUAC
rnacentral:rRNA from 1 species